rnacentral:rRNA from 1 species
UUGAAAGGGAAACGAUUGAAGUAGUAUGUGGUGGGAAUAAAUUAGGGGAAAUUAGGUGAUUUUGUUGGAGGUUAAGUGAUUUGAAUGCAUAAAAUAAUUGGGGGAAGGUAGUCUUGGGAGUGUUAUAGCUUGAUAGAUGUGAUGUUUGGGGUGAGGAUUGAAGGAUACUUUGGGGUAGUGNUGAUUUAANGGUGUUGGGUUAGGAUAGAUGUGANGUGAUUAAUUANGGUUAAAAGGUUAGAGGUGAUAAAUCGUUAAGGAUGUUGACGUA